GAAUGUGUAGCUCAAGUGGUAGAGCAGUAGGCUUUUAACUUAAUGGUUCCGAGUUCAAGUCUCGGUACAUUCA
rnacentral:tRNA from 1 species